AAUUUAAUCUUAUCAAACACUAAGGUGUUACUGAAGGUGUGAAAGCAUGUUACGUCACAUAACUCGUGUGCGUUUAUCCACAUUCAGUAAGGAACAGAAAAAAUCUGAAAAUGCGGAAUAAUUAAAACUGCUGCCGAAUCUAAUGUUAUCUGUCGUAGUAAUUCUGCUGAAAAUAUGUGAACAGUGAUAUUAUAAUGAAUAUUACUCGAGAGAGGGAGAGAAAACUGGUGUUUGUUUGUCGUGUAAGAAACAGAAAUCUAUUCGCCUUCGAUAUUUGAAAAUCAAC